rnacentral:piRNA from 1 species
UUCUGCUAAUGCCAAUUGGAA